AUUUAUCAUAUGUAUACCUGCACCUUAUCCUAUUCUAUGGUAUAAUGGAGUAAAAUUUGCUGCAGAAUGUCAUUGUCCACCACUUACUUGCCAUUUAAACAUUUUUCUCUCACCAUCAUGAAAUUUUACCAAAGCUUAUUGCUCUAGUAAUGUUGUUUUUUUGGGAUUGCAAGAGUCUCUAGAUAAAGAACUGAUCCUAAUCACUGCAAUAUAGCAAGGUUCACAUGGGGCAUUUCAUUGCAGAAACAGUUAAGACAUUCCCUUGUCAACCAUGAAAAUUAUCUUGUUUAGAUUCAAUUCUUCUUGUGAUUUUCCAUUAUGAUUUAUCAGCAACUUUGGCAUUUGGCCAAUGUAGUAGGAACA
rnacentral:misc_RNA from 1 species